rnacentral:rRNA from 1 species
GGUAGCAAUACCAUGAGAGCGGCGCACGGGUGAGUAACGCGUGCACGACCUACCUCUGACAGGGGGAUAGCCCUGGGAAACUGGGAUUAAUACCGCAUAUUAUUCUGAUUAAUAAAGGAUUAGAAUGAAAGUUCAGGCGGUCAGAGAUGGGUGUGCGUCUGAUUAGCUAGUUGGUAGGGUAAUGGCCUACCAAGGGGAUGAUCAGUAGGGGGCGUGAGAGCGUGAUCCCCCACACGGGUACUGAGACACGGACCCGACUCCUACGGGAGGCAGCAGUAAGGAAUAUUGGACAAUGGCCGCAAGGCUGACCCAGCCAUCCAGCGUGCAGGAAGAAGGCCCUAUGGGUUGUAAACUGCUUUUAUCAGGGAAGAAACCUGUGGAUUUACUCCGCAGCUGACGGUACCUGAAGAAUAAGCACCGGCUAACUCCGUGCCAGCAGCCGCGGUAAUACGGAGGGUGCGAGCGUUAUCCGGAAUUACUGGGUUUAAAGGGUGCGUAGGCGGCUUUGUAAGUCAGGAGUGAAAGUUUGCGGCUCAACCGUAAAAUUGCUUCUGAUACUGCAUGGCUAGAAUUAGGAUGAGGUCAGCGGAAUGUGGCAUGUAGCGGUGAAAUGCAUAGAUAUGCCAUAGAACACCAAUUGCGAAGGCAGCUGACUAGACCUGGAUUGACGCUGAGGCACGAAAGCGUGGGGAGCGAACAGGAUUAGAUACCCUGGUAGUCCACGCCCUAAACGAUGCUUACUCGACGUAUGGCACUAGAUGUUGUGCGUCCAAGG